rnacentral:lncRNA from 1 species
AACAGCGACGGCGGGGUGGUGCCUGGGGGACUUCGCGCCUUGAACGUGCUCCAUAUGCCGCGGGAUCGGGAGCCGUCGUGAACGCCGUACUCUGAUGCUGCGCCAGCGGCGGCGGUGGCGACGGCGCCAGCGGCGCCGUAAGCAGAAUCGGGAUCACCGUCCGACCAGCCUGGGCGGGUCGGUCCGGCGGCGCAUGCAGCCAAAAUCUCAGCCGUUGCCACGGCCUUGAAACGCUCCGCGCCCCAAGACAUGAAUCGGAAACUGGACGUGGCCGUCGCGCCUCUGCCGCCGCCGCCGCCUCUACCGCCGCCGCCGCCGCCUCUGCCGCCACCAUCGUGAUGGAAAGCAGCAGCAGCAGCAGCAGCAGCAGCAGCAGUAGCAUCAGCGCCGCUGCCGCCGCCAUCAAUGCGAUCCAGGCCCCUUGGUGACGACGAAAUCAUGCUGUGCUGCGACGCGGUGGGGAUCCUUAGCGCCAGGCUCUGCCCGACGCCACUAGUGUUGCCGCUGACGCGUACGACAUUGUACGACACGCAACUGGAGCUUUGAUCCGGGUACGGCAUGAGUAUGGAGCCCGCUGUAAGGCUGCUAGAGGGAGCGGGAGCACCACUUGGGGGGUUAUUGGACGACGCAGGGCGCAGAUGCCCAUCAGCCUCCACGUCAUCCUCUUGCUCGUCCAUCGACCCGUAGUACGACACGUGCUCGCUGGCGCUUCGGACGCGAAGUCGCCAGCGAGUGCUGUUGUUUGUCGGCUCCGGAGUAGAUGUAGGCUCAGCGUUGGCCUUAGCUGGCAAUUUUAACAUCUUGAUUAGGAAGGACCGCAGCCAUCGUCGCAGGUUCGAAACCCGCGAGGAGCUGGAAUUGACCGUCGCCGCGGCUCCGGCAGCGUCUUGAAGGCGUUGCAGCCCUGGACACGAGCUCUGCGACGUCACUGCGGAGGCGGUGAAAACGUCGCAGUUGGCGGAGGUGUUGGCGGCGGCAGCCGCCGCCUCCGUCAGCAUUACCAAUCGUGGACUUUCUGCGCCGCAGCCGCCCUCCGGCGCCAGCGCAGCCGUUCCCUUCCCGUCCUCGUCCGAAGGGGCAACUGACUCCGGUAGGCCAGUGCCAGCACCCGCCGGGCGGGCUAGUUCACCUGUGGCCGCUUGAGCCUGCUUCGCAGUCCUGGCGGCGACGGCGCCGCUGGCGACGGCGGCGGCAGCGGCCGCGAGGUACGGCAGCUCAUCCGCUGAAUCCACCUCCCGUACAACCUGCGGAUCCAGAGGGCCGUGCUGCAACCAUAGCGAUGGCAGCGGCGGCGGCGGCGGCAGGUUUUUCGUGCCUGCUGCUUCGCUGCCGCCACUCCCGCCGCCGCCGCCGCCGCCGCUGCUACCGCAGGGGAUCGGAUGUCUACCUGCGCUAGUACGCAAUGUCGUGCCUGGCUGCGUUGCGCCAUGUGACUGCUCGCCAUGGGUAGCGGUGGUGCCCUGUACGGUUUGUGGCGGCGGCCGCGGCACCGCCGCCGCCUCAGCGGAAGCUCCGGAACCGGGCACAUCUGUGGCGCCGCCGUCGCCGUUGCCGUCGCAACCCGUACUUGAGCCCAUAGGACCCUCUGCUCGCAGACCGCCACCGUCGCCGACCUGCCCGCUGGCAGCGACGUCAGCAGCGUCGACGCUGACGCGGACGGCCGUGGCAGCAGCGGUGAUGAUGGCUGCAUUGCACGACAUGCGCCAGCGCGCGCUGGCGCCGCCUCCGGCAGUAGCGUCCUCGGCACCACCACAAUUGCUACUGCCACGUAGCGCGCUGCCGCAGCUGGCGUUGCUCGUCCUUUGGCUGACGGCACCGCCGUCGCCGCCGCCGCCGCCGAGAUAAACGCUGCUGGUGUAGCUACUUCGCUGUUGGCAGCUACUGCUAUUACUGGUUCUGUUGCUACUGCCGGGAUAUCCAGAACCGCAACUGCUACUGCCGCUGGCGGUGCUGCGGUAGCGCAGGCCCUGGGCCGCUUGGCUAGCUUGCUCCCGCCCAGCUGCUGCUGUCCGCGUCGCUGCGGCGGCGGCGGCGGCGGCUGCGCANNNNNNNNNNNNNNNNNNNNNNNNNNNNNNNNNNNNNNNNNNNNNNNNNNUUCGGCUUUCACAGCCAGGUUAGGCAACAAAACAGGACAGGUUCACGCCAGGCCUUCUUACCUUCAGAUCCGCUGGCUCCCCGAAGAAGCCGCCGCAGCGACGCCGCCAGCGUCCUACCACUACGGCUCACCCGACUUGCGCUGUUGCUGCGGCUGACCGCAAUUGCCGUACUACCGCCGCCGCCACCUCCUCCUCCGCCGCCGCCGCCCCCAUUUAAGCUUCCCAAGCUGCCGUACACAUGGGCGCCGGCCCACCUGCCCCCCGUUAGCUGCUCCUUCAUCAACGACUCUAGAUGCGCCUCCCACACGCCGCCGCCGGCGGCGGCGGUGGCGGCACUGCCGCCGCCCGCAGCGGAGGCGGCGGCGGCCGCCGCUGCCGCCUGCUGAUGCUGCUGCAGCGCGGCCUGCAAGAAAUCCCUCGAGGACAUCAUCUGUGGCGCCUCCCCCGUAUUGCUAGUUCGCAGCCUUAUGGUGGGACUGGGCAUUAAGCACGGACCAGAACAGCUACUGCCGCCGACGCCGAAGCUGCCAAUGCGCCUCGCAGGCCAGAUACUAGUGACGGAAGCCGCGCGGCCACGGCAGGGCGUGUACGACAACACCUGCUCUGGCGCAGGUGGCGGUUGCGUUGUCGGCCGCAACGGCGCCGCGGGGCUAUGGAAGCGCCCUCCUUGGAGAGGAUGUAGCAGCAAGCUGCUGAGGCUGGUACGGCGGCGGCGGUCGCGAUGGUGCUCUAGGCUGUAGCGCUGUUCCGCCCGCGAGCAAAUCCUUUCUUGAGAUGGUUCCUGCUGCUGCUGCUGCUGCUGUUGUGGUUGUGGCUGUAGCGGUGGUGCUGUAUCGACACUUAGUGGACAUCUGGCGGCUUGCUGGCCGGAGCGGCGGCGGCCGCCGCCACCGUCUCCGCCGCCACUGCCGCCGCCGCUGCCGCUGCCGCUGCCUCCGCCAAACAACCACAAGGCGGGUGCUUGUAAGCGGCGGCGCCAACGCGGACUUGGCGACGCCGCUUCACCAUCCAGGCAAUGCUGGGGCUGGGGCCGGUGCUGCCGGUUCCUCCCACAGGCAGCUCCUGUUGUGUGGUUUGGAGUCCCAGACCUGCUUCCGCCACCGCCGCCGCCGCCGCCGCCGACACAGCUGCCGCCGCCGCCGCCGCUGCCCAACAGCAUCGCCUUUAAUCCCGAAAGGGCCCGUCCCGCGUCUCGAUGAGGGCGGCCGCCCACAGCCCGGCUGGCGGUGAAGCCGGUCAGGCUCCGAGAAGAGCGGCGUGUGGGCUCACCAGGACCAGCGGCCGCGGUGGAGCUGGUACUGACGGCGGCAGCGGCGGCGGCCGGGUGGGUGCUGACGGCGGCGGCUGAAGCGGCGGCGACGACGUCGACUGCUUUCGCCGCCGGCCGCGGGGCGUUUUGCUCCCAAGUCCCCUGAUGGACACCACCGAUGCCCCAUAGGGCCCCAUCGCCUUUUGGAGUGGCGGAAGAGCGGGCAGGAAAGGAGUAAAUACUGUGUGAAUAUUUUACUUAUUAUUAAAAUUAUGUACUACUGUAAUUAUCGAAGCAAAGGCCAUGGCCUUCGGUACGGCAGUUCCGUCCAUGUACGACACGACAACUGCUCAAAUGUACGGCAUUUCGGACAUAGUGAUCAAUCAGUCCAUCAGAAGAGACAAGGAUCAUUUUGGUCACAUACAAACAGGGCAGGGCCAUGCAUACGGUUGUACGUACGUGACCAUCAUGCCGUACCUGAGAACAUCGUACACGUCGUACAUGGAUUGGACGACAGCACAGUUGUCGGCGCCGCCUCGGUGAUCUCACUCUCGUCGCCCCCGUGCGGCACCUGUUGGCUAAGGCUACUGGCCGUUGCCUGUACCCGCUCGUCCCAACUGCUGCGCCAACUGUCAACCGUUUCUGAACCAAGGCCCUCUGAUGCGGCCGCCGCCGCUGCUGCUGCCCGCAUGACGGCAUAUCUAUUUUCCCUGCCGUGAGAACUAAGGCACGGUACGGAAAGCCGACCCCGCUGCGGCGGCGGCGGCGGCGGCGGCGGGGCCAAACGCUGCGGCAGCGACUGCGGUAGUGAUAGCGACAGUUCCUCCUGCUGUAACUGCAACUGCGCCGUCGACGGCGGCGGAGACGGCAUCGGCAUCGGCAUCAGCGGCGGCGGCGGCGGCAGUGACUGCAACGGCAGCGAUGGCGACCGACUGACCUUCCGUCGCUCAGAAAGCUUAGACAACAGCAACGCGUCGUGGAUGUCGUACAUUGCCGUACAUCGCCACCCCGCGCUGGCCAUCAGCAGUGCGCCGUACCGUUCCACAGCCCUGCUGGAUGCGCUGCACCUUCCUCUUUGCGCGGCGCUGCCGCUGCCGCUGCCGUCGACGCUGCAUCUCUGCGUCGCCGCCGCCGCUGCCUCUGCCGCCGCUGCAACUGCCGCCGCCGGCUCGUCGCCUCCGUCGACGGCGUGGUCCUCUCCGGGUAUACCAGCAGUACCGGCCGCAGUAGCGCCCGAGGCUUGUGCUACUGCGGCGGUUGGGGUACCGGCGGCGGCACCGCCGCCGCUGACCAGACCUAUUGGGGUUUCCUUUGGGCCGCAGCCUUCUUCUCCUCCUUCCCGGAAGGCAUUGUCUCGCUGCAGCUGCUCCAGCGGCGGCGGCCGUCGCAGUUUGAACCUUAAUGACAUGGGGGCCCGUGCGCUGACGCCGGCGGUGGCGGAGGCGGCGGAGGCAGCGGCGGCGGCCGCGGCGGAGGCAAUGGUGCCGUGGAGAGCUGGAUUGUCGUUGUCGUCGACGUCGGCGUCGUCGUUGUCGCCCGUAUUCGACGCUGGCAGCUGCCGUUGAGGAAGCGGCGGCGGCAAGGCCCUCCCGCUGCCCGUUGCAGGGACGGCCGCGGCGACACCGCCUCCGCCUCCGCCACCGCCACCGCCACCGCCUCCGCCUCCGCCACCGCCAGAUUCUCCCCAACCCACCGUAAUCCCCGGCCUGGCCUGAUCUCCCUGUCCACCCCAGAUCGAACUCGUUGCAUCUUCCCGUCCGUACGUCAACGACGUGUCCGUUGACCGUUGCCAAUCUAGUUUGCGGUCCUGCCUACGCAGGCACUGUUUUUCCUCCUCCUCCUCCUCCUCCUCCGCCGCCGCCGCCUGAUCUCCUCCUUCUUCUUGCUCGUCACUGUGACAGAGCUGCGCCUCCGUCGCCCUGCCCGCCGCUACCGUCGGCGGCUCCGCUGCUGACACCACCCCAGGCCGAGCCGCCGCCGCCGCCGCUGCCCCUGCCGCCGCCGCUGACAACCUACCUGACGGCGGCAACGCCGAUGGCAGCAGCAGCAGCAACGCCGCGGAUCGUGUGACGCCCAGAGACGGCAUCAAUCCAGUGGCUGCUCCGGCCGGCAACAGAGCUGCACGCAAGCCCGGGGCAACACCGUCCGCCGCCGCCGCCGUCGAAUCUCUCCCUGAAGAUACGGCCGCCGGCUGUGGAUGCGACAUGGCCCGUCGCAUCGCCGCCGCCGCCGCAACCGCCGCCUCCGCCGCCAGCACGUCAGCCCGCGCCGCUGGCGGCAGCACCUUGGCGGGCGGCAGGUCUACCUGGCGGGCCAUCGGUAGCUCUAACGUUGCUAUCGCCGUACGGCUGCUGUCGUCGGUCUCCCGCCAGCUGUACGUGCCGCCACCGCUGAUGAGCCCACCGCUGCCCGUACCACCGCCGCCGCUCGUACGACUGACAAGGCUGCCCAAUCCAAAUCCCAAGCCCAGGCCUAAAGCCGUUCUAGAGGCUCCGUGGGCGUGUUUGGAGGCGGCGGCGGCGGCGGCAGCGGAGGUUAAGGCGGUGCCCUGCGAAGGCUGCGCUGCUGCCGCACCAGAGUGAGUGUGGAAGGGUACGGCAGCGGCGGCGGCCGCGGCGGCUGCUGAGGAAGAGGCAUUGGGGUCAGGUCCCGGCGCGGGGGCACUGGAGGUGUGGCGCAGUGUACCGCCGGUGUGUUGUUGGUUGCGGUGUUUCUGAUGGCCCGGUGCUGGUGGUGGUGGUGGUGAGACCGUGUCUGAGUUUCGAGAGCAGCUAGGUACGGGUCCGUGAUGUACGACGUAGGAGACCGUGGCGGCGGCGGCGGCGGUGAUGGUGGUGGUGGUAAGGUCAUGAAGGUUCGGAUCAGCCGUACAACCUUCCAUAGAAUUUCCCUGAAGGGAAGGGAAAGGAAGGAGAGGCAGGGAGGGUUACCAAUCCCUAAGGAUACAGGUGGCUCUGAUGACAGUGACGGUGUCCUCCUCUUCUACCUUAAUCGCUCCUGUAAGACACGGAGCCGUGUUUUUUUCGGGGACCGGGGGCGGGGGGGAGGAAUAUGGCAGGACGGCUUCAGGCUUCAGGCCCCCGCCGCAUUCCGUCACGGCAAACUCGUUUUGUGUAACAGAGCCACACAGUGGUGGGAAGCGGCGUAGGCAUACGCGUAUGCCUGGGCAUGCGUGUUAAUGCGCGCGCACGUGUGUGUGUAAGAGAGAUAGAGAGAUAGAGAGAUAGAGAGAUAGAGAGAUAGAGAGAUAGAGAGAUAGAGAGAUAGAGAGAUAGAGAGAUAGAGAGAUAGAGAGAUAGAGAGAUAGAGAGAUAGAGAGAUAGAGAGAUAGAGAGAUAGAGAGAUAGAGAGAUAGAGAGAUAGAGAGAUAGAGAGAUAGAGAGAUAGAGAGAUAGAGAGAUAGAGAGAUAGAGAGAUAGAGAGAUAGAGAGAUAGAGAGAUAGAGAGAUAGAGAGAUAGAGAGAUAGAGAGAUAGAGAGAUAGAGAGAUAGAGAGAUAGAGAGAUAGAGAGAUAGAGAGAUAGAGAGAUAGAGAGAUAGAGAGAUAGAGAGAUAGAGAGAUAGAGAGAGAGUGUGCGUGUCCGUGUGCGUGUGCGUGUGCGUGUGCGUGUGCGUGUGCGUGUGCGUGUGCGUGUGCGUGUGCGUGUGUGCGUGUGUGCGUGUGUGCGUGUGUGCGUGUGUGCGUGUUUGUAUGUGUGUAAAGGGCGGUGCAGGUGCGAUAGUGGUGGCAGGUGGUCUAACCUGCUGACGGCGUUGGCUGCCGGCGCCUCCAGUACGACCUAGAUGCCGGGAAGUGGGACCCAUCCUCCGCUGCUCCCCUGGCCCUGCACCGCCCGGCCUCGCCUUCGUCUUGGCCUUCGCUUUCCGUUGUCUUGGCCUUUACGGACCGAUCGGAAUGGCGAUGGCGGCGGUACUCCUGCUGCUACUGUUGCGGCUGCUGCUGUGGUGACGACGGCGCAGGAAGCCUCCGAGGCGACGGUGAAAUGUGUCCUUCCACUUCGCCUGCCGCGAAAGGUCCACACGCUCUCCUUGUCAACGGAGCGGCGCCGGGCUGAACGUGACGCUAAAAUGUCGUGACACUCGGAGGAGCUCCGAGAUACAAAAUAAUGUAGGUAUGAGAGCGAAAAUGGACGCUGGCUCCAGGAUUCAUUUGUUCGACUCCUUAUGAAGGCAAGUGUUAAACGCAGCGGGGAAUCAGGGAUAAGUGUCCCGGGGUUCUGCCAGCUGCGCCAAUGUAUUUGCCAAACGGAUGGCAGAACGAGUCGGACCGUCGGGCAGGUCGGGCGCGUAAAGUAACAGAUUAGCCAUAUUUAAAAUGAAGUAUGUGGAGAUGUUGCAAUGGAUGUUUAGAUCUUUGUAGCCACCAUGCAUUCGCGUCGGCGCGGACAAGAAGCAAGGCGUCGCGUGAGGCGGUCUCGGUAGUGGGCAAUAUCUCGGUUCGACGCAAAGUUUGCGCAGUUACGAGCGGCAAGGUAAUAACAGGAACAGUAUACAAAUAUUACGGGAAGAUGCAUGCUCUAUUGUGUUGUCGCCGUGUGGUUUCCUUGCAGCUCGCAGCAAUGCCCUGAAGGUCGCAGGGCCAUCCUAAAUCCACGUUCCAGCUUAGCUUUAAGCAUCAUGCAUAGUAAUAUGCAUAAAACACGCCAUUAACUUAUGGCUUUCAGGCCUUUUUAGCUCGACGGGUGGGCGAUUCACAACUUGCUCGCCACGUGGCCAAAGGCUGUUAAUGUGGACACUUACGUUUUCCAAAACAAUUCAUAGUGGGGCAACUGACAGCAGUCUCUUCAUUACCUGUUCCUGUUUUGGGUCGACGCAGCCUCGCGCGCCGAGCCGUCGUGCAAAAGAAGUCCUCGUGAGAACAAAAGCAAGUAGGUCUUGAUUAAACCGACUCAAAACGACCAGCAGAUUAUGGAGAAUCCCUAGAUGUACGCAUUUGGCGGUUAAACUUGCCCACGCGUAUGUUAUUCGUAAUACUCGUAACAACGUCGUGGCGGACCUCUUUGGUAGGUCAAGCGAUCAAGCGACACAUAUCAACAUAUGUAUAAAAGCUAGCGAUGUAAGAUGCCUCUUUUACUGGAGGGACGUAUACGCAAGUAACCCAAGGCACGACAGGAUAGUUUUGUUUCCAUAGAAUUUAAGGAUGCGUACAGUGAUGCAUGAAAUAGAUUAUAUCUCUUUUUCAUCCUUUGCUGCUUGGCAACUCGCAAAUAGCAGACUUCGGAGAACGAUGCGCUGGCGGGCGACACCCGCCGGACCGCGGCAUACUCCAAAUGCCAGCUCCUUUGUCUACCGGAACGAUAUCCACCGACAUGAUGUGGUGCACAAAGGGCCCAUUUAGCCAGCAGUACACUUGAGCCCUUGAGACACAGCCAAAGCAAGAGCUGCGCUGUUGUCGGACCCAUUGCAGUACAAAUGCCUUUCUCAAGCCGAUCAUAAAUAACCCAACACCAACCGCUACAACCACUAACCAUCAUGUCCAAAUCAGGCUCUCGCCUCCAGGUCCACCAGCAUCACUUUACUUCUCAACCCGCCUCUGAAAUAUCGUCCAGAAAUCUCUCGAAGGUCGGUGUUGAGCAUGUUGAGCAACGGCAAAAUUGAAUGGGAAGGAAGGAACGAAGUUGAACCCGUUCACAAUUCCAAUGACGCAAAAUGUAUACCUGUUUAGCAAUUUCAAGUCGGGAGGCCCGACUUCUUAAAAAGUCCAAGCCCCUCCUUAGGAACUCUUUAAACCUCUUUCCUCCGCCACCUCGCCGCAACCUCAACCCUCAUUGCUGCACCUUACUCCGGACUGCUGCACCCCCCUCCUCCAAACCCGCAUUACCCGCCGCCCACGCCUCCGCCUGUCGUACCCAAUUGCUGUUAACCUCUUCACCUCCGACACCCCUCCACCCCACACCCCAUGACGGCGACGAUGGCGAAGACGAAAAAGAGGGCACAGGAGGAGAUGAAGAAGAGGAUGAAAAAGAAGAAGAAGACGGCGACACGGCACCUGGGAAGGGGCUGUGUACGGCGGCCCCCUGGAUGACGUCACCAGCCGCCGUCGUCGUACCGGGUAGUUGUUGAUCCGGCCCUGCCACAUCUUGCUCUCGCUCCCGACGGGCGGCAGCGGCCUGGUCGCACACACACACACGGGUGGGGUGUGUAUUCGAAGGGGGUGGGGGCGGAAAAGGGGAAUUCAAAGGGGAAAGGGGAUGGCCCCGGGGUUCAGGCUUUGGGCGUUUCGAGGGGUUAAAAAAGAAACUGCUCCAUAAAAGGCAAACAAUUCCGGAAGUUACGAUGGACGAAUCUCACGUUUUGCAUAGGCUUGAAAGUACGGAAAUGCUGUACGAGGGGUUGUUGUACCAGCGCUGGUAAGGAGCGGGGCAACCCAGUAACCCAAAUGGUACGACAGCAUUAUCGUAAUAGCGAGCAUCCACAUACAUACAUACAUACAUACAUACAUACAUACAUACAUACAUACAUACAUACAUACAUACAUACAAAUGUCAGGCGGCUGGCAGAGGUUAAGGCCUGACUUCUGCUCCCGGCCGACCCGGGUUCAAAUCCGCCUGCCGGCUCCUCGGGUGUUUGAGGAAUGUUGAAUUGGGAAGUGGCCCCCCAUCAUAUGGACGAUGUAGGACGUGAUAAAUUCAACUUGCGAGCUGACCAGGAACUGAGUUGAUGCGCCGUUGAUCCGCUAGAUUUGGUUGGAUGCUGGUGGUGAGUUGCCGAACCCAACGAAUACAUUCUGAAGUCGGAUGGGGUGAACGGAUGAGAAGGGUGCCCCUCUAGCAGGGGAGAGCAGGGACUGCCCGGGAAAGGGGGCCGCUGGCGAAGCUAUAUCAACCUGUAACAACAUACAUACAUACACACACACUUACCCGCAGCUCAGCCUCCCUCCGCUCCCUGCGGACCAAAUCCGGAGGCAGCUCUAAAGCGAAUCUGCCCAGAGCACCCGAUCGAUAGUCCGUCAGCAGCCGUACACCCGCACGCUCUACGUCACCGCCGUACUGCCGUACAGCCAGCGCCACCACGAAGUCCUCUGCGCUGCCCACCGUCUACCGUCGUUUCGUCGCCCCGGGGGGGUUGGGUUGGGGGGAAGGGUUUUAUCAUGUCGUUCAGGAAACACGUCCAGGGACGCGGGGUUUGACUGUUGAGGCUUGAGGGAUUAGGAAUUGUUUGAUUUCUAGUUUUUAUUUGGGGUUGGCGGAACUUGUAACGACAUCUUUUUGGGGUCGGUGCGUGUAUAUGUGUGUGUACGUAAGUGUAGUUGUCCCCUUCGGUUCCCCUUUAGGGGAUGACAACUUAUGUGUGUGUACGUGUGUGUCAGUGCGUACAGAACGAAUACUUAUCGCCCCUAACGGCCCCACGCUCUAAAAACCCCCAAACCCCCCCGCCCCCCCCCCCANNNNNNNNNNNNNNNNNNNNNNNNNNNNNNNNNNNNNNNNNNNNNNNNNNCAUACCCUCCCCGACACGUACCAGGGGGUCCACGCCGUACCGUCGCCGUACUGCCUCCAACACGCCGCCCACAACUCCACCACCACCACCACCAGCGGUAGAACCUGCACCUGCUGCCGCCUUCCCCUUCCCCUUCCCCUUCUCCUGCUCCGUCUCAUCGCCGCCUGCUCUGUCUCUCCGCCGCCCCUUAACAACGCCUCCUCCCCCUCCCCCUCCCCCUCCCCCUCCCCCUCCUCCUCGUCCCUUUCCCCCCGUGUCCUCCACUUCCUCCGCCCCUCCCGCCGCCCCGGUGGGCCUCCCUUCUGCUACUGCUCCUGUUGCUGCUACAGCUACUCCAUUACUACCCGCGGGUGUAGCGAGAUCGGCGGCGGCGGUAGCGGCGGCGGCGGCGGCGGUGGCGGCGGCGGCAGCGCUCUCCCCAGCCGCCAGCUGUUUGAUCCUUAGAACCAGCGCCGCCGCCACCGCCGACGCCAAGUACGCCGCCUCACCGAUGUCGUUACACAUCGCCAAACGUUGCGCCGCCAACUGAUCUCGGAAAGAAGCCGGAAUCACUCCAGGGGCGUCCAGAAGGUCGAGCUGCUCGUCCACUCGUACCCAACGAAGCUGCCGUGUAACGCCUGGUUUCGGCGCGGAGGCGACGGCGCGGCGGUUGACGAGGCGGUUGAUGAUUGCGGACUUGCCGAUGUUUGGAAACCCAAUGACGCAGGCGCGGACGGGUCGGGGCUGUAGACCGCGCUUGGCUCGUUUGGCAUUGAGCUGGGCGGCGACCUGCAAGUCGAGUUGAAGGCCGGGAAAGAAUUCAAAUUUGAAAAAACUGACAAGACGGAGGCGGUUUUAAACGUGAGUAACCUUGUGUGUCAACAGAUCCGUCAAAGGAUCCGUUUUCGGCUUCUCCACAACACCCCCCGGUGUGUGUGUGCAUAUCUGUCUGUCUGUUUGUCUGUCUGUCUGUAUGAAUGUCUGUCUAUUUGAAUGCCUAGGGGAAUCCUUUGCUGGAUAUGGCUGUACGGGGUCCAGGAAGCGCAAGGCAGCAACGGAAUGCGAUUGGCCCUCUUUACCCCCACACACCCCCCACCCCACACACACAAUACACACACACAGGCAGCCACAUCCCAACGAGAGGUCCCCUCAAGGCAGCACCUUGAGCAGCUCCUUCUUCACACCCCGGACCCCGUCGCCGCUUCGCCCGUCCGUCCAAAACACUUGCUGCCGCGUGGCACGGAAGUGCGCUCUCCAAGCCGCCAGAUCGCGCUCCGAAACCUCGUCUGCCCGGUUCAUGAGCAGCAGACGCGGCUUGACUCCCACCCACUGGGCGAUCUGCGGGUGGUGUGUGGAGAUGGGGAUGCGGGCGUCGCGAACCUCCAACACCACAUCCACCAUUCCGAGCUGGGCCUGGGGGGGGCCGGGCGGGACGGGGAAGGGGGGGCGGAGGGGUGAGAGGGGGGGGAAGGGCGAGUUUGGGGGGUUUUGGGUUGUGUGGGUGUGCUAGUGGAUACGAGUGGUAGCGGUAGCAGGUGGUUAAAAUUACGGUACAGAUAGACAAACAUACAGGCAGCCAGAUAGACAGGCAGACAGACAAACAGGCAGUCGGGUAGGGGGAGGCAGUCAGGUGGCAGCACCGGCAGCAGCAGCAGUAGCAGCAGCAGCAGUACCAACUAACAGCAACAGUAGCAGCAGCAGUACCAACUAACAGCAGAAGUACCAACUAACAGCAGCAGUAACAGCAUGCAAAGCGCCCGCGCUGCCUAAUACUUAGCUGGCCCCCUUAACACGUUCAAGAGAGCGCCCAUUUCCGUUCCCUCCUUUUUUUCCCCUUUCUCGCUCACACAUACACACAGGCACACACAUACACACAUACACACUCUUAUUCUCUUUUCCCCCCUCGCCGCUCCCUCUCACAAGCAAAUAAAUACAAAUAUACACACCACACACGCAUACUUUGAGUUGUCUCUCGGCUCGGGCGAUGUGGCCCGGAUACCAUUGCACCAUGCGGACCUGGGGGGUUGGGGAAGUAAGGGAGUUGGGGGUUGGGAGGGUUAGGGUUAGGGGUGGGUAGGGGGUGGGUAGGGUUAGGGGGGUGGGUAGGGUUAGGGGGUGGCGGCCCGUGAAGUUGUCAGGUCAGACGAGGUGAGGUGAGGUCCGUUGAUGUUCGGGGUUUUGAUUUUCCGUUUAAUGCUUUUUAACCCCUUCGAAUCCUGCCGUUAGCAGGGGCAGGAUAGAGGGGUAGGAUUAUAAAUGACAUUCCCCAUACACCGAGGUCGCUGCCAUUUUAAAAUCGGUAUUCUACCCCGGCCCACCUGCAGUGAUUCAUCUGACAUGUCUGAAAGCUGGAGGUAGUUGCGACCACCAGUUUCAGCGGCUGCCACGGCGUCCUGGUCAUCUAAGACGAGGUCGUCGCCGGUCAGGAGUUCCUGCUGGCUGCUGGCGGCUGCCAUCGACAGUGCACAAUGUGAGGUGGAAGAGGAGACCUUGAAGCGGUUGUACACGGGCCACCUUGGGCAGAAAGAAGAUGCAGUGAGGAGGGAGCCAGGUAGAUGCAUGGCUUUGUGGCGUAAGGGAUGCGCUGCCGGUGAGCAACGCGGAGACGUCGACGUGACUAGUCGAUGCAUUGAGCCUAUCGGCCUCAGCGGCAAUUCACCCGUGCUAGUUGCCAAGCUCUGCAUCCUCAUAUAACAUAUAGGUUUACAGCUACGGCGACGGAAACUCGUUUGGAUGAGUUUAGUCGGCGGGUCACAACUCACAAGCAGAGUCCUGCUCACAAGACUCACAGCAAACCAACCUUCCAAGCUGAAGUAGGCUAGAAAUAUUACGCUUUGCAAGGAGCCUAACAAUUUGGGCCUAAGCAGCCUUAGUUCGCUGAAUCGUUUCCAGUGCCUUGCCGUAACUAACGGUCUGCCACCACAUUUCCUAGUCCCCCUUUUAUUUUCGCGUUGUGUUGCUUCCAACUAAACAGCUUGGUUUUUGUAAUUGAUGAAAACACUGUAGCACCCAAAAGGCAGCUUGUCUGCGGUUGGUCGUUCGGCGCUGGUGUUUCCUAAUGGCCUUAUAAAUGCGUUAAUCUUUUUAAACCUCUCGCUGUACCAUAAUUCAAAUAAUAAGGAGCUGUGGUAGCGCCGCCGCUAGGCCCCCACAAUCACAGCAGCAAGCAUGCCCGCGCUUGCACUUGUCCUCGUCGACUCGUUGCUCAAGGUCGCCGGUGGCGUUGCAAUUGGUUGGUUGCUACGCGACGCCUCAUCUAAGCGGAGCGCCAGGAAAUCCGCCAGCGCCAGCAGCACAAAGAAGGCCGGCAACAACAGCAGCAAGGCAGCAGCUCGCCGCGCGGGCGCUGCUGCAGCUGCGUCCCCCUCGCCUGCUCCCGUUCCCCGCCCCAAAGAGGAGCUCAAAAUGGUCCUGUGCGUCAACAUGUCUUUAAAAAUGGGUACGGGCAAAGUGGGCGCGCAAUGCGCGCAUGCGGCUGUGGGGGUCCUCUGGGCGCACUACCAGAGCCACAACGUUGCUAUACGGCAGUGGGAGAUGUAUGGACAACCCAAGAUUGCGCUUAAGGUAAGCCAGCCGGUAACCCGAGCGGUAAAGGAGUGCUAUCUGGGUCAGGGCAUCUGCAACCCCUGCACAUAUAGCCAGCAGCACGUCGAAUCUCACAAUUGAGGGGCCCGGGCCCCCGGAGACCUCUCUCUCGCGGGGAGGGGUAACCUCCGCGGGGAGGGGAGGGAAAGCAAAGGCCCGUCGGGGCAAGUGCAGCAUCCCAUGUGCGCGGAAACAAAAGCCGAUGGAUCAGACUUGUGGGGGGAGGUGAAGAGGUGUAUGGGAGGGGGCCGCGUUGCUUGGGACAUACGUGUGUGUAUGUAUGUAUGUAUGUAUGUGUUAAGUAGGGGGGUUCAGCUUCACUACCCACCACCGACAUCGCUGUAUGUGUAUCUAUUUGUAUGUGUAUCGAUAUGUGUGUAUCGAUGCGUGUGUAUAUCUAUGUGCGUGUAUCUAUGUGUAUGUGUAUCUAUGUGUGUAUCUACGUGUGUGUGUGUUCUGCACCCCUGCAAACCCCGCGUUGGACAGUUGAAGAGAACCAACGCAACCAGAGGAGUGCUAACCAGACCACCUCUCCGCAUCACCACUGUCAUUUCCCUUGAAGGCUUGACAGGAUUAUAAAAGUGUUCAGGUGGCCAAGAGCACGUGUGUAUUGGUUCAGGUCCUGACGGUUUGGGAACGGACGCCAGCGACGGCGCCCCCUCCCCCCGAACCAGGGGGUGCACUUCCAACGGGGCUCUCAUUGAAAUGACUUUCCUAAAGCUCGUAUGUAUGCAUACAUACAUACAUACAUACAUACAUACAUACAUACGUUGCGUGUAGGUGGGCGACGAGGCGGAGAUGGCGGAGCUAGAGGCUAAGGCGGUGUCGCUGGGCAUGCCCACCUACAUCGUUCACGACGCAGGUCGGACCCAAAUCGCUGCGGGCUCUCAGACGGUGCUGGCCAUAGGGCCCGCACCCAAGAGUGAGCUGGACACCGUCACGGGGCACCUGAGGCUGCUGUGAAGUGUGAGAAAAAGAAGGAAAAGAGAAAAAGAAAAAGGCUCCCAAGGUGUCAUCACUAAGAAUAAUUGAUUUAUUCCGGAUUGGGCUCCUAGGCUCACAGGCUCCUAGGCUCGCAGCGUCAUGUAUGGCAGGGGCCGAGACCUUACUUUUUAACCCCAAAUCAGUGUCACAUCCUCCGCUGCGAGGUGGCAACCAUGGCAGCUGUUGGUGGUGAUGGUGGUGGUGAUGAUUUGUUGGGUAGUUUUAUAAGCAGCAAACCAAAACAGGUUCCCUGUCGCUCUUUUUCUAAUCGUGACUUGGUUCUCAAGUUUAUAGAGCUGGAUUCCUGAACUGCAAGGAGAUGGAUAGAGAGGUAGAGGAACAGGGGGAAGAGGAGGAGGAGGAGGGGAUGGUGUUUCAUUUUUCAGGCUAGCAAGGCGAGAAAAGCGGGACGAGGACAGACGCUUCGGAGGAAGGCAGGAGGCACAAAUAAAUUAAGAGCAGGAUGAGGAGGAAGAUUAGAAGGACGCGGUCUAGAAGGUGGCACGGGACAAAGGGAGGUGCGGGAGCUUACAGACAAAUAAACCGAUGGACACAGCAAAGCAAGGGUGCAGCCAUGAUGGAGUGCUGCGUUGGCUUACCUGCUAUGAGCACUGACUCGGCAGAGCGCGCGUGUGCGGGAGAGGAAUGGCUUUGAGGGUUGAGGUUAUUCGACGAUAAAGCAGCUAUCAUCGUAAGCUUGGCGAUUCGGCACCGCCAACCGGAAAUCGCACGAGCUCGCAAGACGUGCGAGCAGAGGGGACGGACGCUGUACAGCAUCGUAAUGAGACUUUCAAAUGUCGUUGCGCCCUAUGGGCCCUACCAGGCACCACUAACUUGCGUACAUACACACAUCCCGUACAACCUGUUGUCGCCUACAUAGUAUCCUGAUUUUAAACUUUUUUAUUCUAAUACUCGUCAACAUGGACUAGUAUUCUUCAACUUCUGCUCCUAUGGAGGCCUAAAACCCUAAGACCCAUACCACUACACCGAAACAGCUGUAAUACCUAUUACUAUUACUACUACUACUACCACUACUGAAACCGCAGGCAGCUACAUGCCAGCAACACCGUUAGCACAGCCAGUAGCAACAACAACAACAACAAGUUUCGCAGCUGACACGUGAAUAUCACAGAGACAGGCACACCGCGGCCUGACUACAUAAACACAAAAAACCUCCGUCCGCAAGCGCUCUACUGCCGACGUGCCGUAUAUAUACACGCCACCUUUCCCAAAACUGCACACGGCACGUGGAAAGCAGCGGACCAACCCUCACCAUGGGGUGUACGGUCGACAUAUAUGUGUAUAUGUAUAUACGUAUGUCCACAUAUCGACCGCUGUGACCGACAAGAACACAAAAGAACACAUGCGCGCGUACAGACGGACGUACGCAUGUCCAUGCUGGCCGGGUGCGCGUCAUUCCAUCCUUAGACGGAGACGAGGAUUCCCUCUAGAAAUUCCCUCUAGACGUGCGUUCACGGCUGUGUACGGUUGUAUACGGUUGUAUACGGCCAUAAGAGCUUGCGCUGCGUCGAGGUUGUUGAAUCUGAAGACGACAAAUGUGUGCCGCACGGUUCCACCGUGUGCAGCACUAGACAACAGUAAAAAGUCAGAAUGUCGACGAACAAAGAAUAGGAGGAACUGUGCUGCUGGCAAACACACACACACACACAUACACACGAACAGACAUCUCCCUGAAAUGUCAGCCAGGCUGACAUAUGCUGUCAAAGCCUGUGCGGUGCGUGCACACACGUGGCUUGUACGGCAUCACUUCACAGGUCCCAGCCUUGCUAGCUGCCGGCUGCUGGGUGGCCAACAGUAGCUCAUAUCACCCUGCCACGACAAGUUAUAACAGCUAAAAAAACACUUAUAGAUGUAAUAACCAGGCUAUGCCAAGCUAAAAGCUGUGCUAGAGCCCGGCAGCCAUACAUGGCACGACAUACACCCUCGGGAGUCCUACCGCACCGCAGAGCACAGCCCGUACUAGGUCUAUCGAUCUAGCGAUCCUGCUGCUCUUGUGCCUGCCGCCCAGCUAGCUGCUGCUGCUAAUAACUCGUUCGGCUACUCGUUCAACUCCAGUGAAGUGAACUAGUAGGUGGUGAGGUAAGCGGGUAACUCCCGCCGCCCUUCCGCGCGGUUACUACACUACUACUACCCCCGAAGCUUCUUCUUCUUCACCCAGUGGGGCGCUGUGUCGUCCGAGUACCUGCAGCAGUGCGGUGCAUGAACAUAAACAUACUUACAUACAUGCAUACGUACAUGCAUGUAUGCAUGCAUAACCUAUUUGAAAACAAGCAAAGCACGCGCACGUACACAUAUAUACCUGUAGUCGUAAGUGAUUUCCGUGCCCGGUGCCAGGUUCUUAUCCGCCAAGAUGGCAAUGCGGCUCUCCCCGUCCACGAGCAGCACCUUGGCCUUCGCGACAGGCUCCUCGCUGUGGUUGGCGCAGCGGAGCUUGUUGCCCCUGCAGGCAGGGGUAUGUUGCGAGGGGAACAUUCGGAACAAGCUCUCGGCAAUAAUAAAAAGAUUUCAGUGUUUUUUUGGAAAUAGUGUUUCUUCCACCGAUACACACACAGCAGAUGGAUGCGUGUCAUUACAUGGGUAGCUGCUGUAUGCAGCGGCACGAGCGCUAGCGGCGGGGGGGAUGAAAUGUGUAAAAAGAGAAAGGGAUUGAAGGAUGGCUGCUGCUGGGUGCGUGCGUGCACACGUGGGCACAUAUACAUACAUAUGCGCCCUGAGGGGACCCCGUGGUCACAAAAGGGCAGAAAGGGAAUCAACAUAACACACGUCGUUGUCAGUGCAAUUCCGAUACUCUUUUAAGGUACUAUUAUCUUAUCAGGCUGUGUGGCCACUCACUUUAUACCACUGUGCAUAUCUAACCCUUUUCCCUUUUUAAGCCUAUCUGGGCCGCACUCUCUGCCGACGGCAUUUUCUCAUGCUGCUGCUGCUGCUGCUACUGCUGUUGCUACUGCUAGUACUGCAAAUUGCUUACCUGAAUUUCGCGUCGACAACCCACUCGUUGUUCAGGUUGAACAGGUAGCUGCAUGUGCCACCAGACAGGGAAGAAAAUACAUACAUACAUACAUAUAUACAGCGAGGCGAGGAUUUUGAUAAGAGAGGCGUCGUGUCGCUGUCAAUUAAUAUAUUCCACAAACAUCAUCGCAAUGUUUGCAUGCGAUGCAACAAUGUCACAAAUAAAUGGGAGGACCACCAGACCUUACCGCGUGACCAGCGAGAAUAAGUGUGUCACGUCCGUAUGUCCGUAUGUCCGUAUGGAUAAACAAGUUGGGCGACAGCAAUGCGGCCCAACUUUAUUCUAUGUGUCGCAAAAAGGAGCCAUAUUGGGAAAGCGAGGGGAUUCCACAACCCACAACCCACAACCCCCGGGGGGGGAAAGACGAACCACACGCGAUUGAAGCUGCUGCCAGGGCAAGAUAGUAGCAACCGAAAGAACUGACCGAAAGGCGUCCGUGGCGACUGUGACGACUGUAACCUCGAGAUGACGACUGUAACCUCGGGACGAAGAAUUGACGUAGAUGUUGGAAGUCCUACCUACCUAAGCCGCCAGAAAUAUUAUAGCCAAACCGUAAACUAGUAGGUGUAGAAAAAGUAGUGAAGGCGGCGAGAAAAAAUGCGGCGAGAAAAAAUGCUGACGUAAAAGAGGCGUAAAGUUGCUGGCCAGGAAAGAAAGCUGCAUUGCUGAUACUGAAAGGCUGCCGGUAUGCAAGUGUUCCUCCCAACCCCCCAAAAAAACUAGAACGCGCGACUGACCCGACCGACCCAAACUAAACUAUUCCGGCUAGCCUACCGACACCAACGCGAAAUACCAAAGAAGCUCGAACCACCUUUUGGACUCACCUGGCCAGGCAGCAGGAGCAGCGGGUAAAGGCACAUGCAAGGCAGAGAGGUUGGGGAAUUUGUGAGCAGCGAAAGAAAAAUACGAAAACGCAUGCAAAUGCUGCUGAAAAGGAGUAUAAAACUAGCUGAUCGGGGAAGCUGGAAACGAGAAGCCCUAAAGAACCUAUAUGAAAACGGAAGAAAACGCAGGAACUAAAAAAUAAUAAUAGCAAAAGGCGGCGCAGGACGACACAGAAGGUGUCGUACGAGAUGACCUAAUGACGCAUUGGACGGGAUGACGCAUUGGACGGCGUGUAUGCCGGCAGAAUGCAAAGAAGGGGGUUGGAAAGAACGCAAACGCGAACGUUCUUUCCAACGCAAAAGAAAAGCCAAGCCCAAGGGAGGAGAGGGAGUUGGUAGGAAGAGAAGCGCAAGUGCGCGGGCCGGGGCCACCCGUGGCUCCCGCCAACCUGCGCGCACUAGGGGCAUGUGCAUGCAGCCCCGUCGUGCCUAAUACGUGGGGAGGGGAGGGGAGGACGUCAGGUUUGGGGGGGUUGAGGCGGGAGUGGGAGAUAGGUAGCGGGAAGUGGAGGGGUUCGGCGUGAAAGGGAGCGGGAACUGGGUUGGGAGAAAGAGGGGAAGGAGCUGGAGAUGGGGGAGGUGGCAAAGGAGGGAAUUUAGGUAUGGGAGGCAGGAGCUGGAGGUGGGUAAAGGGAAGAGGUGUGCUGAUAGCGACAAGCGCGCAAUACGGAGCAGGUAGAGCUAGUGCGAGAGAAGUGGGCAGUAAGGCGCGCGAGGGGAAAAAACAGCGUAGACAACUCCGUAAACAGGGACGGGAUCACGGAGAAGAGGGGACGAGGGCAUCGCGCACAGCUAAGCGGGAGGGGGAAGGUUUUCAAGUGGGAAGAAAAAUGCAAUGCAAUAACAAAAGGGUAACAAAGAAGUGAGGCGGGUAACUCCCCCGGGGGGGGGGAGUUUGAACCCCGGUCCCCUCUUGUUUAUUUUACCUGUUAUUCAUGAAGUCGUAGAUGCUACCCCGCCGGUUGGCUUCGUCCUGUGUUCAUUAGAGCACACACGGAAAGAAACAGCCGUAGCAGUAGCAGCAGCAGUAGCAGCAGCAGUAGCAGCAGCAGCAGUAGCAGGUGAAAGCCCUCAAGGGUAUUCUAUCUGCUUUGUGCGCCCUGUAGGCCUGAAACAACACUGUUGUGCAACAGGGUUUUCAAUCCAGAUCAUCAUCCCCAUCUGCAACUGCAACUGCGUCGCCCGAGGCCUUACACCUCCGUCGUCAGCGCACCUCCACAUAUUGACUAGAAGCCUAACAUCUUCAGCAUCCGAGCAACACCCACACCCACACCCUCACCCACCCACCCACCCGCCUAGUCACCCUCACCCCCAUCCACCCACCCCCCCACCUGUGUAAUCAAGUCCCCGGUGUACUCCCCAGAGCCGUUCUUAGCCCGUACUGUGCCGUGAAUAAGCCCCAACCAGCUCCUGCGGUUGGGGCGCCGGGGAGGUGCAAAUUUGGCCGUGGCGACGCAUCAGAAGAUGAGAUGCGCAGCCGAGGUAGGUGUGAUGUGUGGGACAGGGGGGCCAUAUCUUCACCCGUGGCCGCUACCCGGCGAAACCCUGCCUUUCCCGGUAUUUCGGGGCACCCUCGUCUAGUCACCCUAGUCACAACUUCUCAGUGGAUCGCAAUGGUCCGCGCCUUACCAGUAGUGCCUAAUCUGAGUCUAUAGAAGUAAGUAGCCAUAAUGAUACAUUACUAAAAUAUAUACGAUAAUGGUGAAUUCUCGAAGUACAAGGCACACACGCACACACACACAAACACACCUCCCACCUGCUCCCCCCCCCCGCACUCCUCUCCCCGGCCCGCUUCUCUUCCUACCAACUGCCUCUCCUCCCUUUGGCAUCAGCCAGCUUCACUCGCUCGUGGUUCGUCUCCCCCUCCCCCCCCCCCCGUCGCCGCACCCACCAGGGAUGUCCGAGGUACCCAGCACUACGCGGGCGUGUUGCCGCAUGCGCAGCCGCAUGUUGUGGCACUCGCGGCCCGGCUCCGCCCCGCACUCCAGGGUGGUCGCACAGCCGCCGCACAGGUCCGGGUCGCACUCGCGGCCCGCAGCCCAGCAGGGGCACAUGUUGGUCCUGCAGCCGGACUUGCAUGUGCAGCCACGGAACCUGGUCCACAUCGAACAUACAUAACGAUACACAUAUAGCUGGCUAGCUGGCUGUAGAUAGAUAGAUUAGAUAGAUAGAUUAGAUAGAUAGAUUAGAUAGAUAGAUUAGAUAGAUAGAUAGAUAGAUAGAUCCAUCCAUCCAUCCAUAGGUAGGUUAGGUACUUGCAUGCGCACUAGGCGGCACUCGAAAGCCUCACAGGGUCGCAGCCACCCCCCCCCCCAGCACCCUCACGCUCCCAGCUCUCUCGGGAGACUCACCUCUCCCGGCAGGAAGUGCUGCAGCCACAGAACUUCUCACAGAAGUUGCGGACGCGCACGCAGGAGCAGUCGGCCUUGCACUGGCCCACGCAGGUGCAGGGCUGGUACUCGUGCCAGUCGCUGUUGCCGCCCUGUUGUGCGCGCGAGCUGGCAACCAGCGAGCGAGCGUACUUGUUGUUGUUGGUCAGGACGGUCUGAAAACCACCGGGGUAAGUGUUUCGGUGAGGCGACAGGAGAGGAGGGGAGGGGAGAUAUGAGUGGCGAGGCGAGGCGAGGAGAGGAGAGAGGGGGAGAGGAGGGAAGAAACAAGGUAGGUAGGUAGGUAGAUAGGUAGGUAGGUAGGUAGGUAGGUAGGUGUGUACAGCUCCUCACGCACUCUUCACUGCAUCAUCAUGUACAUAAUCGCUGUGUACUGCAUCAUCACGUGUACCUUCCUCGCUCGGCCACCCUUACGGCGUGCAGCUGGCUGGUGCUCCACCCGGCCGCUGUUGAGGUCGCCGUUGAGGGCAUCACCGCCGCCGCCAGUACCAGUACCGCCUUCCCCGUCGCCGCCGCCGCUGCCGCCACCGUUAGCCCCCAGCGGCGCAGCCCCGCCACCGCCGCCGCCACCGCCACCGGCAGCGGCGGCCUCCGGACCGGCAGCAGCAGGAUCAUCAUCAUCAGCCACAGCCGCUGCUCCUGCAGUAUCAGCGGCAGCUGCUGUUGCUGCCGUCGGCAUCCACGUCGUGGCAGCUGCCAAACCAUUUGCCGCUGCUACCUCUUCCGCUUCCGCUGCUGCUGCUGGCUGGCCGCCGCCGCCGCCGCCGCCACCGCCGCCGCCGCCGCCGCUGCCGCCGCCGCCGUCUCGGUGUCCAAGGUGAAGUUGCUCCAUGGCCAGCUUCACAGCGGCGCACGUGUGUAUGGCCGUGUUGCCCAGCAGCCGGGUGACCAGGCAGGGGUUACCCAUGCCAAAGACCUACGCACGCAAGUGUACGGCGGAAUACACCUUCAGCCCCCUCUCUCCUUGCCUGACUGGCUCGCCGACUUUACUUGGAGGGCCCCCAAAAAGGUUCGUAUGUAUGUAUGUAUGUAUGUAUGUAUGUAUGUAUGUAUGUAUGUGCUCCCCUUACGACUUCGAUGUAGGGUAGCGCAACUCCAGCAGGUAUGUAACACACAUGAAAACAUACAUACAGGCAUACACACAUGCAUACACAGUCCGACUCAAGACGACCCACGUCAGCUGGAUUAUCCAACGCGCGUACGACACACAAACGUCAACGUGGUAUGGAGCCUUGAGGAUGAUAAUUAUAAUAAUCUCAUCCCUAAUUAUUUAUUUUGCACAUUUUCAUUCGGAACACAUCCGGUUCGCAAAAGUCCGCAACUGCCUGUCUAUCCGCCCUACCUAACCACCUACAUAACUACCUACCUAAACUACCCACCCACCAACAUACAUACACACAUACAUACCUGAAUUCCUUGCCUCACAAGGGACAUAUCGUACGGGCUAAAAGAGCAUGAUGGGCUGUCGUCCCUGUCGUCAUCACCGCCGCCGUCGCCGCCACCCAGGUGUCCCGCCCUCCGGAGAUGUCCUAGCUGCUGCGGCCCCUGCGGGCCCCGUGCCGCGACUUGAUGAGCAGCAGCAGCCGCAGCCGCAGCCGCAGCAGCAGCCGCAGCAGCAGCAGCUGAGCCGGCACCUCCACCACCACCCCCAGCCCCGUCACCCGCACCCACAUCCGCAUCCAUUAUCAUCGCCGUCGUGUCGUCCACACCUCCAUCCGCCGCCUCAGCUGCCCGCGGCCCACCACCACCACCACCACCACCACCACCACCACCAGCAGUAGUAGUAGUAGGGGGUCCUCGGAAGCCGCCAGUCGAAACCCUCAGUGGCGGCACCCUCGCGGCCAGGCGCCAGCAGCCAGGGCUGCAGGGCAGCUCGCUGGCGCCCCGCGGAGGGGGACGAGGGGGAGCUGGACGGUGAUGGGGUUUGACGUGGCCGCCGCCUACCUCACAUACACACGCACACAUACACACGCACACAUACAUACGCACAUACACAUACAUACACACGCACACAAACAAAAAAACACGCACACAUACACACGCACACAUACACACGCCCAUACACACACACGCACACAUACACACGCACACAUACACACAGACACGCACACAUACACACGCACACAUACACACAGACACGCACACAUACACACGCACACAAAAAACACGCCAUGGGCAGGUCAUCCAAAGUGGUCACCCGGCCAGCCGCGUAGAUCCGGAGGGGGGGAGGGGGAUCAGAGAGGGGGAGUGAGCACUCGGGGGGCGGGGGGGUAACAACACGAACCACUGACGACGAUCGAAGCAGACACCAGCAAUAGCAGCCGGGAGGUUUACUGUAUGCACUUUCCGGGUGCAUAGCAUGGCCGUACAUAUUCCCGUACACAUGGAAAAGCACGCACACAGCCGAUUUUUGACUGAUUUUCGAAUCGGCAUGUGUGAGCGCGUAGGCGGCCCUGGUGGUGAUGAAGGCCCUCGCGAGUGCUAGGGCUAGGUGGGCACCCUAUAUAUAGGAGAUUGCGGUUGCUAACCCCGGGAACGAGGCGGCGCGGGGGGGGGGGGUAACCCAGGCGGCGACUGCACUAACGGCCAACUAAGGAGUGCAGCUUGCAGCAGCACUGGCGGCACCAAGCAGCAGCUACUCGCAGCAGCAGCAGGAAGGAGGAGGCACGGGAGGCAACGUUUGGACAAAUAGAGGAGAGUAGACAGGUUUUUACUUACGGUACUUACUUACCGUGUGUACGGCAGCCGUAGAUACGGCAGCGUCGGCAGAAGCCCCCGGUAAACGCGUCCAGCACCUCCUCCACCUAUCAUGUUUGUAUGCAUGUACGUAUGUACGUACGCAUGUAUGUAUGUAUAUGUCACCAAGGGAGCAGGAAAACACAGGCAGGACGGGACACGCGAAGAGGCCAUUGUUUGCUGGCAAGAUGAGUAAAACCUUGGUGAUGUAAAUCACCUUUCCGACCUUUGCCGGCAUGCAUGUCCCGUAUAGUGGCCAGCUUGUUAAGAGAGCCCCUUCCAAUUCCCGGUCCAAUGAAAUCAUGAAAAGCAAAUGAUUCACCGGCCGAGCAGGGCAAAGCAACCCCGCCCCACCAACCCCGCAUGCCCGCCCGGCUAUCCUAGCUGUAAGCAUCAAGGCAUGCGCACCCAUCGACUUCACCCACACACAUAUCCACAAACCGCAACCCCCCCACACACCGCACACCUCGAUGCCCUCCCGGUCCUCAUCCACCAAUCUGGGACGUUGCAGGUAGGCGAGCCGCUGAGCAACGGCCUCCCGCUCCGGCUUCGGCCGCAGGACCUCCGUCAACGCCUACACACAACACCAAGCUCCAGGCCGUUAGUUGGUUGGUUGGUUGGUGAGUUAGUUGGAGGAUUCCCCAACAUCCACGUUGGGAAUUUAAUAAUAACAAUAACAUUAUGAAACGGAUAACACCGGAGGUAGUGUGGCUAUUAUACUAUUCUUAUUAGGACUAUAUUUACGUAAUUUUAGGACGCAGCGGCAGAAAUAGGAAGAGCGAGCAGCAGGAAAUCACAAUAAUAUUUAACAUUUAAUACUUAACAUAAUUAACAUUUAGUAAAUAAAUAAACAUUUAACAUUUAAUAUUUAAUAUAAUUAAUUAAACUGUAAACUAUUUAGGCAACAUGCAUGCAUCCAUCGGCAACCCACUAUUACUAUUACUACCCCUACUCCUACUCCUACCACCAGCAGCAGCACUACCAGCAGCGCCACAGGGCACCAGCAGGCGCCUGGAGACAUCGCACCAGCAUGCCAAAUGCAUGAUGUACAUACAUACAUACAUGUGUACGUACAUCCGUCCAGUCACCCACUGCCGUACGCACCUCCAGGACAUUUGGAUCUUCCCAGCCGUACUCCUCGGCUAGUCGGCUCAUGGACCAGUCCACGGCGGCCCCGUCAAUAUCCUCCCAGGGUAGACGCUGCGCAUGUAUGUAUGUAUGUAUGUAUGUAUGUAUGUAUGACGUUGAUUACACUGUGGGCUGAAAAGCCGGGGGCCCAGGGCCGAAGCACAGCGCGAGGGGCGGGUGCAUACGGCUGGUUAGUCUCAUGCACUCCGCCCCCGGGUCAGGCCGCACGGGAAACGACGGCCGGCACGCAACAGCGCUUGUUUGGCGCUCCAACUAGACGGGAUCUAUGCCCGUUGGUCUCCUAACAUAAACGAAGUCGCAACUGGGGGGCUCUUCCUGCCGACCGAACGAACCGAGCAUCUUAGAGAGCUCGCAACCAGGACCUGGGCGACCGGGAGCCCGACGAGUCAUCCCGGGCUGGGGAGGUCACCAAGCUCAAAAAUCCUCAUGCAAAAAAAGAGCGCAAAGAGCUCACACCACAAGACGCCAAACAGCCUCCUGAGACUACUACCCUCCUCAUGUAUGUAUGUAUGCAUGUAUGCACCCAGGAUAAUACAGAAGGCAUGGAAGGUAUCUAUCGAUGUACCAUCGAUGUACACACAUAAUGCAUAUCGACUGCACACACACACAUACAUACACACCACUGGGCGGGAAAUGAAAGGAAGAGCAUACACACGCUACAUACAUACAGAUCAUACGGGUCAUCCAGCCGAGGCCCAAACCCCGUGGCCCAAUCCUCUUCCUCCUCCUCCUCGCCAAGCAAGCACCAGAGGCAGACAGAGGGACAGACAGACAGGCAGACAGACAGACGGACAGAUUUCCGCGCUACCCUGCCUACCUCCUCCGUCUCGCCAUCGUCUGCAGGCACCGUCUCCCCAACAUCGUCAACCAGGAACAUGCGCCGGCCGUGGUCCCGUGCCAACUCGUUUCGCUUCAAGUACGACCACGUGGUGUACGACGGCGGCUUUACAUACAUUACAUACAUACAUAUACGUACAUACAUACAUCACAGAGCACAGAGUGCAUUACAUAGCAGUUGGACGGGGGAGUUGAAAGGGGGCGGAGGUUGGGAGGCAGGCAGAGUGAGUCAGCAGGAGAGACGCGAGGAAGCUCAGGCCUAGGUGAUGAGCGGGUGCGUGCGUUAACAAAGUCGAAUUCUAAUUCUUAAUCAAGGACUACAAGCGCAGGAAGUAUCUAUCUAUCUAUCUAUCUAUCUAUCUAUCUAUCUAUCUAUCUAUCUGGCUAAAUGGUGCCGCAAUGGGCACCACCACCUUGACACACCACAUUGGCGGCUCCUCGCUCUCGCUCGCUCUCACCCACCGGUUGCACUGCGGGCAGUACGACUAUGCGGGAGCGCAAGGGUUGGGCGCUGCCUGAAGACUUGACGACCGACCGUCGGUCGGAAAGAGGGAGCGGGAGCGGGUUGGAACGCGGCGGAUGAUGUGCUGCUGCUGCUGCUGCUGGCGAUGUGGCUGUGGCUGCUGCUGCUGCUGCUGCUGCUGCCGGUUCCGAGUUCGACCCCGCCGGCAUGUCUGUGUGUGCAUGUAAGCGAUGACGACACAACUUUAUAGACCCAGAUAGACAUAUACAGAUAGAUAGAUGAACGUAAGAAUAAACAGGUAAAUAGAUAGUUAGAUAGCUAGAUAGUUAGAUGUAUAAGGAGGUGGAUUCAUGUCGUUGCCAUCCCAUCCCCACGUUGGCAGCCAACCCCCCCAACAGCAGUCAAAUCACAAUCAAGGACAUCUUAUUUGCAACAGGACGGAGCAGCAGCAGCUGCAGCAGAGAGCAGGCGGAAAGGUGGAAUUGAUACAGCAGUGAUGGUGCGUAAGUCCCCGGGGGGAAAGGUGGCGGGUGGAACGUGAAACAUGCGACAGUCGUCAUCGUCGUCGUCAUCGUCGUCAGUUACCGGUUAUCGUUAGAUUUCGUUGCUCGUCAUCGUCAUCACAUUUCCGCCGUUUGUAACGGGGGGAUGCAUUCCUCGUUUGGUGUUACAUAUGCUACUACUAAGUAUUACUUGCAAUGACGUCAGGCGUCUGACACGUCCUGCAGGACAUGCCAUGCAUGUGUCCACAGCUGUGUGCAUGACGCGCAGCAGGGCUAUAUGCCUAGCCAAACAUGGUACGAUUGUGCACGCUUAUUCUCGAUACAUACAUACAUGCAUGCAUGCAUGCAUACAUACAUACAUACAUACAUACAUACAUACAUACAUACAGCCGGGCGGGUUAAUACGCGUGUAUGUAUGUCACGUAUACGCCCCCAUGUAUUAGGCGUAUUCAACCAUAAAAUGGACGAGUGAGCGGCAAAAAAUAUUCUUUUGGCGUCUCACCGGUCUGGACGUCUCCGAAUUUGGGAAUAGGAAGGGCACUUCGUGUGCGACCUUCUGCAUUGCGCAGGCGGUACGACACGUAGGAAGAUAUGGCGGCCUGCCGCACACAAGGUAGUAAAGAAAAUACCAAAUCGGAACAGGGCAGUUUGGUAAGUUAGUGCAGUGCGCAAAUCAUGAAGUUACACUCUUGACGAUGAUACGAUGGAGGGGUGGGAAACAUGUUGUAGUCUGCUGUAGCACUGUCGGUUAAAUCCUAACAGCGCGCGGGCUUUUUUUCAGCAUCGCGUCCCCACUCCCUUCGGAAGAGACGUGGAGUUGCGCGCGAUGUGGGAGGACAUAAUCACGGCAUUCACCUUGUUCGCCGCGAGCAGGUUUGCGGCCUUGACGCGCUGGAGCACGAGAAACUCCUUUUUCAAAGCACGAAAUCUCUUGACCAACUCGGUCUGCCGGAGUUGGUCUGCCGGACGACCUUGCGGUAAACAGAAGAGACAGUCAAAGGUUAUAGCUUCUAAGGAAGGAUUUGCUAGCCUAAUAAGCUAAUUAGUGUUGCCUUCUGUCCGACUUGAGCUUCGCGCCAGGAUUGAUGCAAGGCAUCCGGUUCAUUAUUGUAUUCAACAUAUGUCGUUAAGUUCAUAAUUAUAUUAUAUUGCAGCCCUCAGCAAAUCCCACGCUAACCUUGGCCGGCGUCCUUCCGGCUUCUUUGCAAUGGCCCUCGCUUUGCAAAAUCAUCAUCCAUAUUUGGAACUGUACUUAGACUUGAUAGUUCGACCCGACCGAACCGUUACAAGGUUGAUUUCGUCUGCUAGUUACAGCAAAACGCUGCUGCCGAAGGGGAGUACUCUGUAAAUCUAGCUAUGUUACUCAGAAACUUAACUUCCUCGAUUUACCAGAAGCUCAUAAAUUAUGGUUAUAAUUUGCCGUGUGUGCACCUAUCAUGUCAGCGGCAUGCACCCGGCAUCCUCCGGUUACGGCAUGGACGAGCCACGAGCAGCGUCCAACAGAGCCGAGACCCCAUACCUGGCAAGCGCCGGCCCUGAAGUCGCCCUCCUGCUCCAGCUUUUAUUCUUCAUGCAUUCAUACGCAACACUAUCUUCUACGGAUGGAGUAAGCAAGUCUCAAUUGGGUCACAUCUGUGAUAUACGUGUACAACUCCAUGCGCACAUCUCAGCCGACAUGUAAUGCAGUGGAUAAAUAGGUAAGUGGAUAUAUGCAUCCAUGCAUUCCUACAGAUGCCGUCCUUAUGGCAGCAAAUGCAUUGCAGCAGACGCAAAGGUGCUCGACCUAGAUAGAUAUACACCUAACAGGUAAUCCCCAUCUCCACCCCCUUAUGCAAAUAAAACGUUGUCAAUUGGUUUGCAGACUGCUGUUGUGUUGCAGCAGACUGCUGUUGUAACAAUCUAUCCUCAGCCUAUAGGCUGGGGAUCGAUUGCCGUACGUGCCGUACAACUGACGGACCGGCCCGGGACACGCUGGUGAGUAGAAGUAGUGUUGUGUUUCCCCCGGCCCCGCCCCGCCCUGGCCUCUGUUGACGGUUCGUUCUUCCACGUACGACGCCAGGUACAGGGGUCAUUAAAAGGAUUAUUAUGAGCCAGCUGCCACUGCCGCCCAUGAUGAUCCCAGGUGUUUCCCACGCAUCGAAGACGCCCCAUCCCGGAGCGUCCAACAAACUAUUUGCCUAAUGGUGUACAAUAAUAGAAGCAGCGCCUAAAUUUAAAUGUUGUUAUUUUAUUGUUAAAGUCGGUGGUGUCACCGCUGCCGCGGAGAUGCUUGAGUUGCGUUAUGAACAAAGAAUAACGGCCAAGAUAAAAAAUCCCGGAUGUAUCUCGAUCUCGCACAGGAGUCGCCUGUAUGUAUAUGCAGCCAUUAGUAGGCCUAUAGCCGCAAAUCCUAAAGAGGGUUGUUAAUGGUGACCUGGGGUACGUGCGUGACUGUCUGUCUAUCUGUGUGCUGCUGAGGCAGGGCGGCGGCGGGCGGGUUUGAAGCAUGAAAUAAAGUAGUACAUAAUAAUGAGAAUAAUGUCCAUCUACGCUUACUAUUGGCCAAGCAACCUUUGCACCGUCUUCACCGUUGCAGAUCGAAUGGCGGCAGCAGUCAUAAUUUGAAAUGGUCGAAAUAAAACAAUUGUGGCCCAAACAACUAAGACGCCUGGAAACUUGCAACAAUUAUAUACGCGACGUUGUACAUAUUUUUUAGUUGUUAAGACACUGUAGGAUAGCUUAAGUCGCAACAAAACAAAUGCCUUGAUAUGACUCUGCGGAGACCGGCUUCCGGAUCGGAUCGGGUCGCGAUGCUCAAUUUGGUUUGACAAAAGAAAAGCCCAAAAGGGUAUUUAUAAAUGAACACAGAGCGCAUCAGCAUUGCAAUCGUUGCCAUGCUUGCCUGCCACCGCCGCCCCGUGGAUGCAUGUCGGCCCACUAGCCACAUGCGCACACUCGUAUAUAUACACAUAGCUACAAAUUGUAGCUACACACACAUAUAUAUAGGCGGCUAGCGCUAAGCAAGAACCUCAAAGGACUCUGAUACGGCCUUCAUUAGAUCCUGGACUUGACUAAAUGCCAGGUACCGAUAUCUUGUGGUUGUUAGACGCAUCGUGUACUGCCACCCCUGCAGCAGGGGACAAACGCAAAUCUGCAUGUCGUAUGUGUCACAACGCAAAGAGGUGAAAUGCACAGCAUGUCGACAUGUGUACAUACAUACAUACAGGCAGGCAGGUGGCUGGCAGGAGUUAAGGCCUGACUUCUGCUCCCGGAGUGUCCGGGUUCACAUCCGCCUGCCGACUCCUCGGGUGUUUGAGGGGUGUUGGAUUGGGAGGUGGGCCCCCAUCUUGUGGACGGUGUAGGACGUGGUUAUACCAACUUGCGAGCUGACCAGGAACUAAGUUGUGGCGCCGUUGAUCCGCUAGAUUUCGUUGAAUGCUGGUGGUAAGUUGCUGAACCCAACGAAUACAUUCUGAAGUCGGAUGAGGUAAAUGGAUUAGGGUGCCCCUCUAGUAGGGGAGAGCAGGGACUGGCCCGGGAAAGGGGGCCGCUGGCGAAGUUAACCACCCUGUAACAACAUACAUACAUACCUCAGCAAUGGUGAUUGCUCGAAACUCCCUCGCUGCUCUGCAAGUGCGAGGUACACGUGGCAAUUGAGGGAGUGAGGGAAGGGCCAAGCAAGCAAACGCACAAAUGUAUGUAUGUCGGCAUUCGUAACAACAAAUUGUGAUUAAUCAUGACUUUACAAGCACAUCCAUCCCGAGGCUAGGCUGUUAGCCUGACCAUCACCCGACAGCAACAGCAACACAACAUUUGCGUACAGGUGUGUGCUACAUUAGGGUUAGGCACUCCUGGUAACACGCGACCAUUGCCCCCGGGAGAUCUUGGUACAUCAUGUUGUACAUGUUGCGAGGCAGCUGCAGGGUGAGCUCCAGCAGCGGCAUGGGAACAUACAAUAUCUAAAGAAAAGAAACCCCAAAGAAGUAAACAGCGGGCGGGGUGCAGGUGCGGGUGCAGGUAUGCAGGUGCAUAAUGGGAACGACCAAGUGACGGGCCCGGGCAGGCGAUGCACGCAGACGACCCAGCCACCGACCGCAUCUCUGGUUGGCUUGCAUCCACCAUGUGAUGGUUAUUAUCUUGGCAUGUGCAUGUACAUGUACGUGCCAAUUUGAUAAUAACCAUCACCAACGCAUCCAACACCAUCCAACGCAAGGGCAGGUAGCAAUGUCGUCACACAUAAGUAUGUAUGUAUAUAUGUGUGUGUCACACACUGCUCCCAAUCACGUUAUGCAGCCACGUAGAGAAGAUGGAUGGAUGGGUGGAUGGGCAGCAGACAUACAUACAUACAUACAUACUCACGCACCCAAACAUUCCCGCGGUGUUGCCCCCAAACUGGACAUGUACGAUGAUGUAAUCUCUGUCGCCAUCGUCGCCGCCAUGCUUCACGUUGCGGGCCUCAAUAACGAGCCCAUUGGGUGCGACGCCAGCCAGGCCUGCAGCUACUUCCUGCGGUAGGUGUGCACGCGGGCAUGUGGGCAUGCAUGUGUAUGAUACCGCCGCACGGUAGGUACCACCAGGCAAGUGUGUAUUGGACUGAGUCACUCGAUCGUCACAAAACAAUCUCACAACUUCGUGGUGACUUGGUCAAGUAGAAUUAAAAAACGUUAUUAGUUAUUAAAACAAAUGCAAACUAUCAUUAAAAACAAGAGAUUUCUUCUUGUUCUCGUUUCUUGUUCGCUCGGGGGCUUGCUUAAUAGAAAGGCGUGCCCUUGGAUGGAUGUGAUACAUAUAUGAGCAUGAAGGUAGUUAUACAUUGCCGAUAUUACCAGAAGUGCGAGAAGGAUGUAGACAAACAACCAUAUCAGCGCCGCGGUGCUGGAAAUGGCGGCACCAGGCACCGAACAGACCGGGCUUAGUCCACAUCAGCAGGUCACACACACACACACACACACACACACUCACACACACGCCAGCUGCAUCUGGUCCGUAAAAUAUAUAACCCAGUUCGAAUGCUGGUCUUGCAUCGGACUUACAUAAGACUCAAUCGACUAUAAAAUGAAUAAACCGUACUUCAUUUCAGCGGGUAGAGCAGUUGAAACACCAACAUGAAGUCACGACUCGAUCGAGGUAUGUACGUACGUACGUACAUACAUACAUACAUACAUGCGUACAUAUAUACAUGCACGGUUAGGUUUAGCGGGAGGAAAUCCUCAGGUGGCAGGAAACUCGCCUGUACCGAGCCCAGCUGCUGUGUUGCUUGCACACCCGCCGGUGCCGGUGCCCGGUACACGGCCAACGUCUCCGCACCGGGCUCCUCGGGGUUGUAGAAGCUGGCUAGGACCGCUGCACGGCCGCGUGUGUGGUUCGCAGCAGCAUAGCAGCAGCAACAGCAUAGCAGCAGCAGCAAGUAGAAUAUCUUCAUACGCAUUCCUAUAUAAGGAUAAUGCAACGAGGUUGGAACUGCACUCCAAACCCAUCCGGGCGUGAUGAGAGCCCCGGGAGAAUGUGGACGGCACUGGCAGCGGGGCGGGCGGCGGCAUAGACAGCAUGGGUGCAUGAUACAGCUUUGCUGCAUUAUUACACACAUACAUACAUACACACAUAGAUACACAUACACACACACAUACACACGGGCGGAAGUCAGAACGAACGAAGGGAGGCGCGAGCCAGCACACACAUGCACACGGAUAUGUCUGCACGUGGCACCAUGCAACAUGAGUUGUUGCUCUCCGCAGUCCGCAGUCCACUCCAGGCUGCAAAGAAAUUCGCCAUGAACGUACAUGCAGUACGUAUACCCGCAGUACACCCAAUGGGUAUUACCCAUGCACGUGGCAUGCAAGGUAAAGGCGGCAGGUUGAGAUACAACAAGCGAUGCAUCCAGCAAGUUAAAACAAAGGAGGUAAUAAAGAACACAUACAGACAUACAGACAUACAAACAUGCCGGUACUCACAUGACUCGGGCAGCAGUGUCGAGACCCUGAUCCAGCCACAGGGGCGGACCAGGCGGAACCGCCCCGCAGGGUCAGUGUACGGCACCACCGCGGGUACGGAAGCCGCCGCCGGCACGGUUGCAACCGCUCCUCCUCCAUCACUCUCAUCACCUGCUGCUGCUGACGCAAGCAAGCAAUCGUAUCAGACCCUGCUGCUCAUGCAGCAGCGCGCAACCCUACCAUUUGUCAGGAAUUGAACACACGCACUACUCAAUAAACGCUGUGCUGAUGCAUGUUGUACGAAUAGAACGUACGGCGUCAUUUAUUGCGUUAUGUACGGAUACGGAUACGUACUUGUCGCGGAUGGUGAUGAGCCGCACGUCUUCGGAAGUGCUCCGCUCUCAGCCAUCCUGCGGGCGUAAUAAUUGAUUAAUGGCAAAUUAUUACGUUUACUCGUAAAUCCACCGCUGUACAAAAAUUGAGAGGCAAUCGCAGGACCUGUACGUUGCAUGUGAGUGGAUGUGUGUGUAAUAAAUAAUAUUCAGCAGUCGCGGGAUGGACAACAUAGUACGUAACUGCCGCUGCUCCUGCCGCUGCUCCUGCCGCUGCUGCUGCUGCUGCUGCUCCUGCUGCUGCAGCUGCUCGUUGAUAUCCAACUUACUUUCUUUAGUGUUUAGUUUACAGUAUUUACAUGUAUAUGCUUAGUACAGCAAGGCGUUUGGGGCAACUUCACAAGCAAGUACCAGAUUUAGAGCACGCAUGCCAAGCUGUCUAUCUGUCCGAACAAGUUUGAUCCUGCGUUGAUGCAGCGCUAUACAACAACGCAAAGACUCUUCCACAUGAAGCCCCAGUUCCCAUUCCACGCUUACACGGUCGAUCCGAAAGGAAGCCCCAGUACAACAGCAGAGCACGCCAAUGUGGCUGCGCAUGCAGCAAUUCGUCGCCGGCUCACGUUUAGGGAGUGCCGUGCCAUACGCCAUGUGGCUGCGGACUCCUGAUCUUGAUCGCCCUGGAACAGCGGAACGUCUGCUGGCAGCGCUGGGAGGGAUGUGCUUCGGUCAUCACAGCAACUUGACCAGCAGCGGUUGGCCCCACGGCCGCCUGUUGCCGCGAUAUUGCAGCCACGUAAGAGUACAUGUAAGAGUACGAACAUCUACAGAUUCAUAUAAAAAUUAUAAGUCAGCUUACGCCGGUGAGACCGAGGCUCUGAGACGUUCCAUCGACAAAGGCCAACCGAACCGGUAACCUUCAACGAUUUCAAGUGUAAGCUUGGUGAUAACAGCAUCCCAGAAGGUGGUGAUUCGAUCAGCGGUGAGAUAUGAGUCACUCGGUGGACAACUAAACAGCAGUGAGCAGCCAUUUUUUUGAUUAAGUAAGUCGUAAGAUCUCAGUUACAGUAUGAUUCUCUUCGUGUCAUCACAGUCGAAUUUGCUUUACUGCGUGUCAGGGUAUAGCCACUACGCCAACCCUGAGUUCCGGGUGCCUAAUGCAGUACAACGCCUUGUCGUUUGUGAUUUUGCACCACAGCCGCAACUUGUCAGCAUCACACAUGAAUGUAAACACGUCUUAAAGGCUGCCCUAUUUUUCUAUCGAAGAGCUGCGGGCAAGCUAUCCAGCGAAUUAGCUCCGGAACCCUUUCAGCCCGGGCGGCAAAAAGGAAACCCUCCUGUCAUUAUACGCUUUCCUCGUUUCUGUAAUACUUUAUGGUCUACAGGCAAAACUGGCCUUCAUGCAAUUAUCCACAUUUCCUAAUAAGGCGACCGACGGCUUUGAACAACCUUCCCAACCACUCAGUCUUCCGACUUAGCUCGCACCCGAUAUCCCGGCGUAAAUCUCUCCUAGCAUCCUCAAGUACUGCAAACAUGUCGACAGGCGCGAAGCCCAAACGGGCAAAGACCAUCGACGCUUUCUUCACCCCGAAGCAGCCACAGAAGCAAGCAGUUGUGGGAAUCGCGCCUCCGGUGAGCCGAAUCCACCAAGCUCGGUAUCCAGCAACCCAUCCAUUUCAACAACUUCCAUCAACAACACACACUCAACCUCACAUCGUGCACCUCGCUUCCGCUUCCCCAACCCAGCAGCUCCCAGACGUCGUCGCAGCGCGCUGUAUCAUGGAAGUCGCCGGCGACAAAGCUGAGAGCAGCAAAGACUCCAUCCCCCUCCAGGAGCAACAUCAACCCCACACCGGCUCCACAACAGCUCCAAAAGCAGCGGUCCCAACAGCGGCAGGUUACCCCGCCACGCAGCAGCUACAGGUCCCGGAACCCCCUGGCCCCACGGCGGCCGCCGCGUCUGCCGGCGAACAGGACCCCCCCGCUGUCCCCCCUCCUCCCCCUCAGAGCCCCUUUCAGAGUAAUACUGAGAGAAGUAGAAUGGUUGGCCGCAAACGGCGCAGUCGCUCGGCGGACGGGGGCUGCUCGGCGGACGGGGGCUGCUUGACGGCAGCAACAGCACGGGAAGAGGGUGAGAGAGAGAGAAAAAGAGCGAAGGCGGUGUGUGUGUGUGUCACAUGUGUGUCAUGUGUACGGAUGGCAGGUAGAGGCAUUUGACAAAUGACCAGGGGGGCCUGGCAAGCAACGAGCUAGUAAGGGAGCUAGUAAGGACUGCUAACAGUCCAGCAGCCCAACAACCCCCAUUGGGAGAUGUAGCUGGCACAAUGGGGUUGGGGGGGAGAUAGGGAGGAAGUGCCGUAAGGGACAGGGUGAGCUCCAGCAGCGGUCAAACGCGGCUGGCAAGAGAGCUAGCUAGAGGGAACUGCCAUAGGAGAGGUGUAUGGCUACUACCCUAUACUAAUGUGAGCUGUCGUUAUACUAAUGUUCACCUGCAACCAUUGCCAAUGCCCCUCAUUGUCAACAUCCCUCGCUACUGGCCGCUCGGAUGCGAACCGGAGGACAUACAGACGGACAACCGUCAACGUCGGGGGUUCCGGGUACGGCGGCGCCCGGGGGAGGUGGGGCGGCAGUAGCAGCACCCGGAGGAGGAGGAGGAGGGGGAGGGGGGACGGGGGGAGGGACGAAAGAAGGUGAUGCGGCCUGUGCCAGUGUAGGAGCGGCAGCAGCGGCUGAUGGUGGCGAUGGCUUGACGCCGGCACAGCGUGCGCAGGUUCGUACGCGUGCCUGUGUAUGUGUGUGUGUGUCUGUAUGUGUGUUCGUCCGUCAUUAUUUUGAAAGGCUACAUUGCACCGUCCGGUUCCGGUUUUCCUUCCCCCCCCCCUUUUCACUCCUCCCGCCUUCCCACGGUCGCCGCCAUCACACACGGGGGGAAGCUGACACACACACGCGCGCGCGCGCGCGUGCUCGGCUUGACCCUGGACUCGGCCCCGUGCGCCUUGGGCUGCUUUUUGGACGUGUCAACAGUUUGACCUCCUUUUAAUAUUUUCACCACCAUCACCACCACGAUCAUCAUCAUCAUCAUCAUUAUCAUCACCACCACCACCAUCACUACCAUCGUUAUAUAUUAUUGCCCCCCUUCCCCUCCGCCAACACCACCACUGAUCGCCACCACCACCUCCACCGCCACCACCG